CAGAUGUUAUCAAUGAGAGAGAGCAUAUAAAAUACAAAGGUUGAUCCAAAACUCAAGAGAUUGCUUAUCAACCAAAACUGAUAAGCA